rnacentral:tRNA from 1 species
AUUUCUCUAGUAUAAUUAGUACCAAUGACUUCCAAUCAUUCUAUCUUGGUUAGACCCCAGGGAGAAAUA